UAGGGAAUCUUCCACAAUGGACGCAAGUCUGAUGGAGCAACGCCGCGUGAGUGAAGAAGGCUUUCGGGUCGUAAAACUCUGUUAUUGAAGAAGAACGUGUGUGACAGUAACUGGUCAUGCAGUGACGGUAUUCAAUCAGAAAGUCACGGCUAACUACGUGCCAGCAGCCGCGGUAAUACGUAGGUGGCAAGCGUUGUCCGGAUUUAUUGGGCGUAAAGCGAGUGCAGGCGGUCUUUUAAGUCUGAUGUGAAAGCCUUCGGCUUAACCGAAGAAGGGCAUCGGAAACUGGGAGACUUGAGUGCAGAAGAGGAGAGUGGAACUCCAUGUGUAGCGGUGAAAUGCGUAGAUAUAUGGAAGAACACCAGUGGCGAAGGCGGCUCUCUGGUCUGUAACUGACGCUGAGGCUCGAAAGCGUGGGUAGCAAACAGGAUUAGAUACCCUGGUAGUCCACGCCGUAACGAUGAAUACUAAGUGUUGGAG
rnacentral:rRNA from 1 species